GGGCUGUCAAAACACGCGGCGGCGUGUUCAGUCCCAAUAACUCGCGUGAUGAUUAAUGAGCAGCUUGAUAAUUUAAUAUCGCGUGUGAUUAAAUUAUAAGGCGUGGGGGAGGGGAGCUCUGCGCCACCUCGGCAGCCCCGCCGACGCCGACCAGCUAACCGGACUGGGCUGCGCGCGGAGCCCCCUCUUCCCGUGCACAGUGCGGGGCGAGGCUUGGCGAGCGGUGGGUCUGCGCCUUCCCAAGAAGAGACUGGGGCAGCAUGAAUGUGCUGGAAGAUUAGAGGCUGCUGAUGCUGAAGGAAGGAGAAACGAGGAGGAAGUGUCCCUGUGGACAAGUCAUCUCCCUUCAUUUAAGCCAGGCCAGUAGUCCGGGAGACAUUCUGAAUGAUGCAUUAUCCUAGGCACCAGAAAGUAUCUAACAUUCUCAUGGACAGCAGGGAAAAAUGAGCACAUGAGACAGGGGAAGAUUCCAGCACCUGUGAACAUGUUUGUGCAGGUUUCCAGUCAGUACAUGGAUAUCCCUCAAGCCUUUGAAUCCAGUCUCCUGUGUUGUGAUUGGACCGUUUGUCAUUAGGUUUCCAGUGGCAGAGUAAUGCUGUGGGAGAACUGGCUACGAUGGCCGCAGGAGGUGAAUUAAGUAUUGUUGUGUUUUUAGUAGAACCACUAAAGGAAGAUCUGCAGGCAAGUUGGAUGAGUAUAAGAGCCAAAGAUUGACAAGACUUCCUCAGAUGCUCCUACUGACCAGUGGGGGCACUUCUACAGCUCCCCGAAUAUGUUCUCCCUGCAACCCCCACCACUUUUUAAUUAAAUGGCCAGAACUGCCUUUUUGUAUCAAAACUUAUUUUAGUCUAUCAAUCAAAGGCUUCUAUAGCCCACCUCAUGGCAAAGGAUAUCAGAGAGGUAAAAGAUAAUUGUUUUGACAUAUUUAUUAUCACAACUAGCGACUCUUUCUGCAUUCACAUUGGCUGGUAUGCAGAAAAGGGUGCUUUACAGGAUUCUUGGAAAUGUGUAGUGGAUGCUGGCUCUAGGGGAGGCAGAAUAGAGUGUGGGUUCUGCCAUGGGUCACAUCCGGGUUUUAAUUCUGCCUCUGCCACAUGACCUUGAGCACACUGGAAAACCCUAUUAGAUGUGCAAGAAGGCUUCCCCAUCUGUAAAGGUGGGUGACUUAGCAACUUUAGCAAUGCUUAAGUCACCCGGUUGUUGUGAGUAAUACAUAAGUUAAUGUAUGCUAACUUUCUAGAAAGUUUCCUGGCACAAAGUUGUAUUUAAUAAAUGAUUUUUAAAACAA
ensembl:lncRNA LINC00237 long intergenic non-protein coding RNA 237